GACGAACGCUGGCGGCGUGCUUAACACAUGCAAGUCGAACGGUAAGGCCCUUCGGGGUACACGAGUGGCGAACGGGUGAGUAACACGUGGGUGAUCUGCCCUGCACUUCGGGAUAAGCCUGGGACACUGGGUCUAAUACCGGAUAGGACCACUGCCUGCAUGGGUGGUGGUGGAAAGCUUUUGCGGUGUGGGAUGGGCCCGCGGCCUUUCAGCUUGUUGGUGGGGUGAUGGCCAACCAAGGCGACGACGGGUAGCCGGCCUGAGAGGGUGACCGGCCACACUGGGACUGAGAUACGGCCCAGACUCCUACGGGAGGCAGCAGUGGGGAAUAUUGCACAAUGGGCGCAAGCCUGAUGCAGCGACGCCGCGUGAGGGAUGACGGCCUUCGGGUUGUAAACCUCUUUCAGCACCGACGAAGCGCAAGUGACGGUAGGUGCAGAAGAAGGACCGGCCAACUACGUGCCAGCCGCCGCCGUAA
rnacentral:rRNA from 1 species